rnacentral:rRNA from 1 species
UACGGGGGGGGCAAGCGUUGUUCGGAAUUACUGGGCGUAAAGGGCUCGUAGGCGGCCAACUAAGUCAGACGUGAAAUCCCUCGGCUUAACCGGGGAACUGCAUCUGAUACUGGAUGGCUUGAGUUCGGGAGAGGGAUGCGGAAUUCCAGGUGUAGCGGUGAAAUGCGUAGAUAUCUGGAGGAACACCGGUGGCGAAGGCGGCACCCUGGACCGACACUGACGCUGAGGAGCGAAAGCCAGGGGAGCAAACGGG